UGAAUGGGGUAGAGUCUCAAAAGAUUUUUUGUGUGAAACAAAUCUCAAAGCACAGCUCUCAAAGCAUUCUUAGUAUAUGACUCAUAGUUAAGGAUCACCCACCAUACAUAUCUCAAAGCACUCCGAACUCCUUCAUUCAUCUGCUUACACAGAUCUUAAAGCAUCCUUAGUCAUGACCCAUAGUUAAGGAUUACCCAUUGUGCGAAUCUCAAAGCACUUCGAACCCCUUUAUUCAUUCGUUCGCACAGAUCUCAAAGUAUCCUUAAUAUAUGGCCCAUAGUUAAGAAUCACCCUAGCAUGGAUCUCAAAGCACCUUCAUUCGUGCACCUGCACAGAUCUUAAAGCUUCCUUAGUUCAUGGCCCAUAGCUAAAAAUCAUCCAC
rnacentral:lncRNA from 1 species